rnacentral:lncRNA from 1 species
AUUCAUAAAACCGAGGCCGAGAGGAAGAGGGAGGCGGCCUCCGACCCGCCGCCAGCGGCGGGCAGCGCCCGGACUUUGUGAAUGGAGCGCGCGGCGCCUUUCGCCGUCUACCCGCGGGCCCAGCCUGCGCCGCGCCUCCAGCCCGACACCGGCACCUGUGCCGCCGCUGCACCCCGCCGCUAGGCGGGCGGCGCCAAAGGAAAUAGCCGGCUGAGGAGGCCAGGGCUCGGGUUUGAGCUUUCAUCCCUUGGCACCUUCGCGCUUCCCCGCGUGACAGCCCCGUAGGUUUUUCCCGGUUACCCAAGUGGAGAGGGGACCGGAGCGCUGCUGCCCACCCAGCGGGGCCUGACACCUCCUAGCCCCAGACUCCCCGUGCGCUUUCGGCCCGGCCAGUCCUUUCUGAAUAUGCGAUUCCUGAGACGUUAGCGUAUGCAUUAGCGUGAUCGAUUUUCAUCUAAAGCCAUUAAAUCAGUUUUAUAGCUUCCCCAAGAACGUGGGCAACCCCCUGCUUGGAAGAUGAAAGAGAAAGUCCUCCCGCCCGAAGCCCAGGAUCGGAGUGAGACUCACAAUGCUGUGUGUCCUCUCUGUUGCACCUAAAACUCUUCAUCAAGUAACCAGGCGAAGAGGUCUGUCUUCUCUUCCAGAAGCCCAAGAUCCCUUUUCCAAGGACUGUCUGGAUGCCCCUGCCUUGAAUCUGAGUUUUAUCUUCUGCAGACCUGGGCUUAAUUUGCUGCUCUGAAAAAGGACACAGGCUCUGUAGCCAGACAGAUGUGGGUUUUGAUGCCAGAGCCACCGUUUAAGUAGCUGGGGAACUUUGGGUACGUUUCUGGCCAUUGCUUUUCACAUCUUGUCACUGGGAAUGUUAUUAUUAUUUUAUCUAUUUUUUUUUUUGAGACGGAAUCUUGCUUUGUUGCCCAGGCUAGAGUGCAGUGGCUCUAUCUCAAUUCACUGCAAGCUCCGCCUCCCGGGUUCACUCCAUUCUCCUGCCUCAGCAUUCCAAGUAGCUGGGACUACAGGUGCGCACCACCACGCCCGGCUAACUUUUUGUAUUUUUAGUAGAGGCGGGUUUUCACAGUGUUAGCCAGGAUGAUCUCGAUCUCCUGACCUCCUGAUCCGCCCGCCUCGGCCUCCCAAAGUGCUGGGAUUACAGACGAGAGCCACCACGCCCAGCCAGGAAUGUUAUUAACACCUAGAUUCAUCAUUGGGAACAUUUUCAAAAAAUGUAUUAUUAUUCCUUAUUCCUUUCUCUUAGACAAUUUUUUCUUUUUAAGCUGAGAGGUGUCAAUAGGGCAACAUUUCUGAUUUAUACAUUGUUUUCUCCAUGGAGUUGCAUUUGGCAAAACUCCAGGUGCAUGGAAACACACAGGUGGGUCUUUGUGCCAUCAGGCUGGGCUGCUCAGUGGGCCCAGCUGUUAGUCCACGUGUUUGCCUGUGGGUCAACAGAACAGGAAAGGCUCCUGGAUUCUCUCUGUUGCUUUCCAUCCACCUGGACUGCUCCACCUCCUAUCCUCUCUGUCUCCUUGAUUCAACUCGAUGCUACCCUCAUUUAUCCAAGCAGAGAAAGGUGCUCCUUUCCUCUUUUAGUUUUCUCUCACCCUUCCUUCUUUUCACAUCUAUUUCUUACUGUUUCCUGCACAGUGCUUGUCUUUUCUCUGACAUUGUAUGAGCAAUUUCUUUGAUACAAUGGUAGUCUCCAAUUAUGCUACUGGGCAAGCCAGCCUAGAGGUUGUGGAACAGAAAGGCUCUCAGACCAACUUAAGUCACUCAUAUCGCAAGUUUUAUUGAAUCAGCUGAAAAUAUCCAGUACUUUCAAGGGGAAAGAUGUGAGAAAGGUUCACCCACUUAGCUUAAGGUGCAAGCAGGUGGCAGGACCACACGACCCGAUCCUCAGUGACUCAGUGUUCAUGUGACCGGUGUUCUCUUCUACAUUGACCUUCCAAGCUCAUGGGGUAGUUACUUUGGAACAAGGAGGCUCUGCAGAGAAAACUGCCUGAAGCCAAAAUGAUCUUGCUCUACCAGAGAGAUAAAGGGGCAAGUAUGCCUGGCCAAUAAAGAGCUUGCUAAACAGCCAUUGCUUUUCUCUGUGUUUCUAGACAAAGCUCAUGUGGGGAGAGAUGGGAUUAAUGUAGUUUCACCAAUGAUGGCUGAUUCAGCAAUAAUGUGCCUGUCAUAUAGAGGUGGCAUAAUACACACGUUGUAACUUGGCCUGUUCAUCUUUUUUCUGACUUUAAGUGUCAGAGGCAUGUGAACCAGAGCAACUCCAUCUUAACUCGGAGCUGGGUAAAAUGAGGCUGAGACCUACGGGGCUGCAUUCCCAGUUGGUUAAGGUAUCCUAAGUCCCAGGAUGAGACAGAAGGUCAGCAUAAAAUACAGGUCAUAAAGAUCUUGCUGAUGAAACAGGUUGCAAUACAGAAGCUGGCUAAAACCCACCAAAACCAAGAUGGCCAAGAGAGUGACCUCUGGUCUUCCUCACUGCUACAUUCCCACCAGCACCAUGACAGUUUACAAAUGCCAUGGCAACAUCAGGAAGUUAACCUUUAUGAUCUAAAAAGGGGAGGCAUGAAUAAUCCACCCCUUUUUUAGCAUAUGAUCAAGAAAUAACCAUAAAAAUGGGCAGCCAGCAGCCCUCGGGGCUGCUCUACCUAUGGAUCAGCCACGCUUGUAUUCCUUUACUUUCUUAAUAAAUUUGCUUUCACUUUGCUCUAUGGACUUGCCCUGAAUUCUUUCUUGUGCAAGAUCCAAGAACUCUCU